GAGUUUGAUCCUGGCUCAGGAUGAACGCUAGCUACAGGCUUAACACAUGCAAGUCGAGGGGCAGCAUGAACUUAGCUUGCUAAGUUUGAUGGCGACCGGCGCACGGGUGAGUAACACGUAUCCAACCUGCCGAUGACUCGGGGAUAGCCUUUCGAAAGAAAGAUUAAUACCCGAUGGCAUAGUUCUUCCGCAUGGUAGAACUAUUAAAGAACUUCGGUCAUCGAUGGGGAUGCGUUCCAUUAGGUUGUUGGCGGGGUAACGGCCCACCAAGCCUUCGAUGGAUAGGGGUUCUGAGAGGAAGGCCCCCCACAUUGGAACUGAGACACGGUCCAAACUCCUACGGGAGGCAGCAGUGAGGAAUAUUGGUCAAUGGACGAGAGUCUGAACCAGCCAAGUAGCGUGAAGGAUGACUGCCCUAUGGGUUGUAAACUUCUUUUAUACGGGAAUAAAGUGAGGCACGUGUGCCUUUUUGUAUGUACCGUAUGAA
rnacentral:rRNA from 1 species